ACAAAUGCUUGCCGUAACGGAGCAAAAUUUAUGAAUUGAACACUUUGUUCACUUUGGAUUUGUGCUGCAUUUUGCUCCAAUGAAUCACGGUUCUGCUUUCCAGGGACUUCCGUAAGAUUACGUCGUAAAUAUCCUAAUAAUAUCAUUUGGAGAGUCGCCUUAUGGCUUGACUUUGAGAGUAGAAAGAGAGGAGUGUGUUUUUUUUUUAAAGAGGUGAUGGAAGAUGUUAAUUCAAAAUGCAGAUUAGGCUGGCAUGUAAGGAGAGAUGUUUGACCUCAUGUUGAAGUGACUCUGAAGUGGGUUCUGAUUGUGGCCAUAACUCUUCUCACACAAGAAGAGCUGUUGGCUAUAUGUUGAGUCUGCAAUUCAUAUAAAAACUACCAGUUCAGAGGAGCUGCAGAAUUGAAAUAGCCCCGGCAGCCACACUGGUGAUGAAUAGGUGAAUAGAUGAAUGAAUUCUUGCAUCGUUUGAACACACGUGUCUCAGCUACUCAAAAAAGAAACAGUCCCUGCAUGGGCGACAGAAACACAACGUAUGGUCAGCUGAGACUGUCUUCAAGCAGAAAGAUAAAAAGAUUCAUGUUGCAUAAGCCCCAAAAUAAGGUGUCUCUAGGAAAUGAGAAAUGAAUCACGUUGACUUUGCAUUGACAAAUGACAACUCAGACAGUGCACCCACUGAAUAUUUACUGAUGUGAGAGACAACAAGCUAAGUUUCAGACAGUUCUCAAGUCUGUAAAUUGGAAUAAUCCAGCAAAAUUUAAACGGACAUCAUGGAUGAUUCAAGUAUUUUGAGGCGGCGAGGACUACAGAAAGAAUUAAGUUUGCCACGAAAAGGAAGUUUUUGCCGUACAAGUAACAGGAAGAGCCUGAUUGUGACCUCAAAUACUUCCCCAACACUACCACGGCCACAUUCUCCGCUGCCAGGCCACACAGGUA